AUUGGAGGGAUGGAGCUGCUUCAUGAGGAAGGAACAACAAGCCUGAACAGCAGAAGACAACUGCAGCAGACAAGAGGCGGACAGCAAAGACUCAAUGGUGUCCUCCCUCAACUCGAGACGUCCUGAAGAAAACAUGACAAAAGAGGGAGGUGUGGAGACUAGCAAUUUCCGACUGCCUGUGAAAGUGGCAGAAUGUGAAUGGAUGAGAGAGUAGAGGCAUGAUGUGACUGCAUCCAAGGACUGUCAGCCACCAGCGUCACAUCACACAACUGUCGACUCCUCAAGUAGCCCUCCAUCUUGCGGAAGGUGAUGUCAGCAUGGGACAGAGCGGUGAAUAAGCCCUCCUCCGGACACGCGCACGGCUCCAUCGACAUACAUGAAGACAGCGUGACAGUGCUGUUGGACGUCCUGCGUGAUGAGACGGACGGAUGUGUGUGUGGGUCGCAGAUAAGCAAUGAAGUAUUGCCACAAGGUGAAUCAUCAACCAUGACGGCUCCCGGGAUGGCAUUUAAUUGAAAUUCUUUCGUCGUGAUUUUAUCAUCACAGCACAGAUAACAUCACACUCCACUUAUCCUCAAAAGGGUCGCAAACAGAUGGUGGUGCCCCGGGAGAUACUUUGAAGUGGGCAAAGGCUGCUUUCCAGAGCCCCUUAAUCGAGCUUGGCAGGCACCCGGUAUGAAGCGGCAGAGAGUCUGUGGCGAAUCAAGACUAUGAUUCUAAACUGGUACGGCGGCAAGUCCAACCACACACAAAACUGUUGUUGUCCAAACUAAGCCAAAUGAAGCUAAGACGUGGAAAGGAGCCAUUGGCUUGGAAGCAUCUGGCCAUUUGCCUCUACAUUGUAGGAAAUGCAAAUGGGGGGGAAAAAGUUCCUUAAUUGUUAAGAAAACUGCCUUCAGUUUCUGGGAAGACUCUCUUCAAGAUGUUGGAGUGAGGGGUCUCAAUACAUAGGCCAUUUUUGUAAUUCCUCAAACUCAGAAAACAGUAGAACUGAUUUGUUGGCUGAAACAACUAUUACAACUCAAUUCCGACAAAACACAGGCUGGUCUAUGAAGUACAGAGCACAAUGGCUCCAGAUGGAGGACCAAAGGUGAUGCAUUGGAUUAAAAAAAAAAAUUGCAUCCAGAAAGACUGUAUUUAGACUCCCACCACAUUAGUAAAACAUAAUCACACCACACUAUAUUUUUGAAAGGGAUUCGACGAGGAAGGUGUCCCCCCCUUCUGUAGCUCUCAGGAAAGGACUGACACACAACUACUCCGUAUAGUCACUAUUAUUUUUUUAGUGCUGUUAAUAAAUGCAUUUGUUUUCA